rnacentral:rRNA from 1 species
AGAACGAACGCUGGCGGCAUGCCUAACACAUGCAAGUCGAACGAGACCCCGACUUCGGUCGGACGUCUAGUGGCGCACGGGUGCGUAACGCGUGGGAAUCUGCCCUUGGGUUCGGGAUAACAGUUGGAAACGACUGCUAAUACCGGAUGAUGACUUCGGUCCAAAGAUUUAUCGCCCAGGGAUGAGCCCGCGUAGGAUUAGCUUGUUGGUGAGGUAAAGGCUCACCAAGGCGACGAUCCUUAGCUGGUCUGAGAGGAUGAUCAGCCACACUGGGACUGAGACACGGCCCAGACUCCUACGGGAGGCAGCAGUGGGGAAUAUUGGACAAUGGGCGAAAGCCUGAUCCAGCAAUGCCGCGUGAGUGAUGAAGGCCUUAGGGUGUAAAGCUCUUUACCGGAUGAUAAUGACAGUACCGGAGAAUAAGCCCCGGCUAACUCCGCGCUAGCAGCCGC